ensembl:lincRNA
AUGAAGCAUGAAUGUUUAUUUCCCAUUACAGAAAGGAAGACGUAAGGCACAAAGUAACUUGCCUAUGAUCAAACAGAGAGGGCAGGGUACAGUCCACAUUUAAACCUAUCUGUCCUUUAUACAUAUUAAUAUUUUCACAGAAAUAAUUUCUCAGUGUCGUUGCUAGUAUGAGCACAAGAAGAGUGAAUGGAUAAAACACAAAAGCCAAGGAAACUAAGCGGGAGUCUGGAAGGCUGACUUCUAGUUUUUGCUCUGCUGUGUCACGGCCCAGUCCGUCUCACUGGCUCUGUUUCCCCUCCUGUCAGUAAGCAUGCUAGACUGAUGCAACCGGCGAGUCUUAUGUGGCCGCUCUGCAUCCUUCUCUCUCAUUUGGUACCAGCACCUUGACUUUUCUGGGGGAAUCUCCUACCCCUUCGCUGUACAGGGUUAGCGGGGAGCAGGCUUCUUCCUUGCCCCAGGGCAGGCAAGGGAGCCUGGCUCAGCCAAUUACAGGAUCAUGGCUCUUCAGCCAUCUAGAUGAGUUCAGGAACAGGCAUCUGUAAAUCCGAGUGCAUCUUUGCUGAGACAACCAGGAGAGGGGUAAGCAAUUUUCUGUGAAAGUGACCAUGGGAGGAGAUAAAUCUGGCCUGCUACCAUGUAGAAUGCUCCCUCACUCAGAAUCGAGUUAACAGAGUAAAAAACAGAUCCAGGGGUUGCAGAGAGAGAUUCUUGCUGGCAUUGUUAGCGACUUGGAUCUGGCUAUGCCUGAAGCUUGGCAAGGUCUGCUCCUGGCUUGCUCAGUUAUAUGAACCAAUAUGUUUCCUUCGUUAAAUCAGUUUCAGUUGCGGCUAAAACAAUUAUCGCUGGUAGAACUGGAUAGCCCCUAAACUCUGUCAGUCAAAUCAAUUUGCAUUUGGAACUAUGACGGCUUCUGGAGGACAAAGAGACAGACACCGUUUCCCAGGAGACACCUCUGACCUGAAGGGGGAGCCUAUCUCCUCUGCUGCACAACUUUGUCCAUUCGCUGAUGAGGAGGAAAUGACAUGGGUAAAACAUACAAUGUAUUCUGUAUACUCAAACUUUAAGGCGGCGGACGACAGGAAGGAGGAGCUCUGGUUAAUGAACGCGGUAGGUAAGGUAUGAAACAACCACUGUGUCGAUGGAACACACCUAAGAUUCCACGUAGGCACCAGCUGUGAGGCAACACAGCCAUGAGGCAGAAAUGGACUUUAGGAUCAACAUCCUUGAUCCGUGAAAGUGGGAAAAUGAAAUAAACUACACACAAACGUUCCAGGAGGUUUUGCCAUGUUGUUUCUGGAAGCAAAGAGCUAAAAACAACCUUUUUGCCCAUCUACAAAGGAGAAGCUGCACAGACGAUAUUCCUGUGGGAUAUUACACAGCUAUGAGAAAUGUGUUAGACAUACAACCAUAACAUACUGAGUGAGAAAAGGUACUUGUGGAAUAAAAUGUACACUGUCCAGCCAUAAUUUUUUGCAAAACAAAAGAAAUCCUUAUGCUCCACUUAUAUGUCUAUAUAUGUUGCAUAAGCAGAGAAAAAACUACACUAAGUGGUAACCAUUCACU